rnacentral:rRNA from 1 species
UACGUAGGGUGCGAGCGUUGUCCGGAAUUAUUGGGCGUAAAGCGCUUGUAGGCGGUUUGUCGAGUCUGCUGUGAAAAUCCGGGGCUCAACCCCGGACUUGCAGUGGGUACGGGCAGGCUAGAGUGUGGUAGGGGAGACUGGAAUUCCUGGUGUAGCGGUGAAAUGCGCAGAUAUCAGGAGGAACACCGGUGGCGAAGGCGGUUCGCUGGGACGGGACUGACGCUGAGACGCGAAAGCGUGGGGAGCGAACAGG